AGAGUUUGAUCCUGGCUCAGGAUGAACGCUAGCGGCAGGCCUAACACAUGCAAGUCGAGGGGUAGAGGAAGCUUGCUUCCUUGAGACCGGCGCACGGGUGCGUAACGCGUAUGCAAUCUACCUUGUACAGAGGGAUAGCCCAGAGAAAUUUGGAUUAAUACCUCAUAGUAUAAUUGAAUGGCAUCAUUUAAUUAUUAAAGUUCCAACGGUACAAGAUGAGCAUGCGUCCCAUUAGUUAGUUGGUAAGGUAACGGCUUACCAAGACAAUGAUGGGUAGGGGUCCUGAGAGGGAGAUCCCCCACACUGGUACUGAGACACGGACCAGACUCCUACGGGAGGCAGCAGUGAGGAAUAUUGGUCAAUGGGCGCAAGCCUGAACCAGCCAUGCCGCGUGCAGGAUGACGGUCCUAUGGAUUGUAAACUGCUUUUAUACACGAAGAAACACUCCCUCGUGAGGGAGCUUGACGGUACUGUAGGAAUAAGAUCGGCUUACUCCGUGCCAGCAGCCGCGGUAUACGAGAUCCAGCGUUAUUCCGAAUCAUUGGGUUUAAAGGUCCGUAGCGGUUUAUAAAUCAGUGGUGAAAGACCCAUCCGCCUUUAUCGAUGGACGCCAUUGAUACUGUUUAGACUUGAUUAUUUGUGAAGUACUAGAUAUGUAAUGUAGCCGCUGAAUGCCUUAGAUAUUAACAUGGAUUACCACUUGCCGAGCAGCGUACUAUUCCAUAUAUUUGAUCGCCGCAUGACGAAAACCGUGCGGACGCGAACGAUUAGAUCCCCCUGGUACUCCCGCGCAGUAAGCGAAGGGUAUACUAGGUGUGUGCGGGACCAUUCUGAUGUGUCUAAGGAAAAAGUGAUAAGUUCCCCCCCCUGGGGAGUCCUUUCCCCAAGAAUAAAACCUCAAAGGAAUUGGGCGGGGGCCCCCCCACAACGGGGAGGGACCAUGUGGUUUUAAUUUCGAUUAAUCCCGGGGGGAACCCUUCCCCGGGGUUUAAAAGGGGGAGGCGCCCAGUUUGGGAAACCCGAAUUUUUUUUGGGGACUUUUUUCCAAAGGGGCGCCAUGUUUUUUGUUCAGCUCGUCCCUGGGGGGUGCCAGGGUUAAGCCUUAAAACAGGCCGCAACCCCUUAUUGUUUAUUGCCCCGCCGGUCCAGCCCGGGAACUCUAACCAAGGACUGCCCGGUGCAACCCGUGAAGGAAGGUGGGGGAUGACGUCAAAUUCAUCACGGCCCUUUACGUCCUGGGCUACACACGUGCUACAAUGGACGGUACAGAGAGCAGCCACCACGCAAGUGGGCGCGAAUCUUCAAAACCGUUCUCAGUUCGGAUCGGAGUCUGCAACUCGACUCCGUGAAGCUGGAUUCGCUAGUAAUCGCAUAUCAGCCAUGAUGCGGUGAAUACGUUCCCGGGCCUUGUACACACCGCCCGUCAAGCCAUGGAAGCUGGGGGUACCUGAAGUCGGUGACCGCAAGGAGCUGCCUAGGGUAAAACUAGUAACUGGGGCUAAGUCGUAACAAGGUAACC
rnacentral:rRNA from 1 species